GAUCAACGCUGGCGGCGUGCUUAACACAUGCAAGUCGAACGAAGUUUUUCUUUCGGGAGGAACUUAGUGGCGGACGGGUGAGUAACGCGUGGGUAACCUGCCCUGUACAGGGGGACAACAGCUGGAAACGGCUGCUAAUACCGCAUAAGCCCUUAGCACUGCAUGGUGCAUAGGGAAAAGGAGCAAUCCGGUACAGGAUGGACCCGCGUCUGAUUAGCCAGUUGGCAGGGUAACGGCCUACCACAGCGACGAUCAGUAGCCGAUCUGAGAGGAUGUACGGACACAUUGAGACUGAGACGCGGCACAGACUCCUACGGGAGGCAGCAGUGGGGAAUAUUGCACCAUGGAGGAAACGCUGAUGCAGCGACGACGGGUGAGUGAAGAAGUAUUUCAGUAUGUAAAGCUCUAUCAGCAGGAAAGAAAAUGACGGUACCUGACGAAGAAGCACCGGCUAAAUACGUG
rnacentral:rRNA from 1 species